rnacentral:rRNA from 1 species
AUGAACGCUAGCUACAGGCUUAACACAUGCAAGUCGAGGGGCAGCAUGGUCUUAGCUUGCUAAGGCCGAUGGCGACCGGCGCACGGGUGAGUAACACGUAUCCAACCUGCCGUCUACUCUUGGACAGCCUUCUGAAAGGAAGAUUAAUACAAGAUGGCAUCAUGAGUCCGCAUGUUCACAUGAUUAAAGGUAUUCCGGUAGACGAUGGGGAUGCGUUCCAUUAGAUAGUAGGCGGGGUAACGGCCCACCUAGUCUUCGAUGGAUAGGGGUUCUGAGAGGAAGGUCCCCCACAUUGGAACUGAGACACGGUCCAAACUCCUACGGGAGGCAGCAGUGAGGAAUAUUGGUCAAUGGGCGAGAGCCUGAACCAGCCAAGUAGCGUGAAGGAUGACUGCCCUAUGGGUUGUAAACUUCUUUUAUAAAGGAAUAAAGUCGGGUAUGGAUACCCGUUUGCAUGUACUUUAUGAAUAAGGAUCGGCUAACUCCGUGCCAGCAGCCGCGGUAAUACGGAGGAUCCGAGCGUUAUCCGGAUUUAUUGGGUUUAAAGGGAGCGUAGAUGGAUGUUUAAGUCAGUUGUGAAAGUUUGCGGCUCAACCGUAAAAUUGCAGUUGAUACUGGAUAUCUUGAGUGCAGUUGAGGCAGGCGGAAUUCGUGGUGUAGCGGUGAAAUGAGGAGAAAUCACGAAGAACUCCGAUUGCGAAGGCAGCCUGCUAAGCUGCAACUGACAUUGAGGCUCGAAAGUGUGGGUAUCAAACAGGAUUAGAUACCCUGGUAGUCCACACGGUAAACGAUGAAUACUCGCUGUUUGCGAUAUACUGCAAGCGGCCAAGCGAAAGCGUUAAGUAUUCCACCUGGGGAGUACGCCGGCAACGGUGAAACUCAAAGGAAUUGACGGGGGCCCGCACAAGCGGAGGAACAUGUGGUUUAAUUCGAUGAUACGCGAGGAACCUUACCCGGGCUUAAAUUGCAGAUGAAUUACGGUGAAAGCCGUAAGCCGCAAGGCAUCUGUGAAGGUGCUGCAUGGUUGUCGUCAGCUCGUGCCGUGAGGUGUCGGCUUAAGUGCCAUAACGAGCGCAACCCUUGUUGUCAGUUACUAACAGGUUCCGCUGAGGACUCUGACAAGACUGCCAUCGUAAGAUGUGAGGAAGGUGGGGAUGACGUCAAAUCAGCACGGCCCUUACGUCCGGGGCUACACACGUGUUACAAUGGGGGGUACAGAGGGCCGCUACCACGCGAGUGGAUGCCAAUCCCCAAAACCUCUCUCAGUUCGGACUGGAGUCUGCAACCCGACUCCACGAAGCUGGAUUCGCUAGUAAUCGCGCAUCAGCCACGGCGCGGUGAAUACGUUCCCGGGCCUUGUACACACCGCCCGUCAAGCCAUGGGAGCCGGGGGUACCUGAAGUGCGUAACCGCGAGGAGCGCCCUAGGGUAAAACUGGUGACUGGGGCU